rnacentral:rRNA from 1 species
AGCGGAGCAUGUGGUUUAAUUCGAAGCAACGCGAAGAACCUUACCAAGAACUUGACAUCCCCUGACAGCUGUUGAAAGGCAGUGUCUCUUCGGAGCAGGGAGACAGGUGGUGCAUGGUUGUCGUCAGCUCGUGUCGUGAGAUGUUGGGUUAAGUCCCGCAACGAGCGCAACCCUUAUCCUUAGUUACCAGCACGUAAAGGUGGGGACCCUAGGGAGACCGCCGGGGACGACUCGGAGGAAGGUGGGGACGACGUCAAAUCAUCAUGCCCCUUAUGUCUUGGGCUACACACGUGCUACAAUGGCCGCAACAGAGGGAAGCGAGAGCGCAAGCUGGAGCAAAACCCUAAAAAGCGGUCCCAGUUCGGAUUGUGGGCUGCAACCCGCCCACAUGAAGUCGGAGUUGCUAGUAAUCGCGAAUCAGCAUGUCGCGGUGAAUGCGUUCCCGGGCCUU